AGAACGAACGCUGGCGGCAGGCUUAACACAUGCAAGUCGAACGGUUGUAGCAAUACAGCAGUGGCAGACGGGUGAGUAACACGUGGGAACCUUCCUAGGGGUACGGAACAACUCAGGGAAAUUUGAGCUAAUACCGUAUACGUCCGUGAGGAGAAAGAUUUAUCGCCCCUAGACGGGCCCGCGUAGGAUUAGGGUAGUUGGUGAGGUAACGGCUCACCAAGCCUACGAUCCUUAGCUGAUCUGAGAGGAUGAUCAGCCACACUGGGACUGAGACACGGCCCAGACUCCUACGGGAGGCAGCAGUGGGGAAUCUUGGACAAUGGGCGCAAGCCUGAUCCAGCCACGCCGCGUGAGUGAAGAAGGCCGUUCGGGUGUAAAGCUCUUUUACCAGGGAGAUAAUGACGGUACCUGGAGAAUAACGCCCGGACAAACUUCGUGACCAGC
rnacentral:rRNA from 1 species